rnacentral:sRNA from 1 species
AGCGUUGAGGUAAGGUGUUGUGCCGGAGAGCAGUGCCUUAUGAGCUUUAUAAGGGUUGGACAUUUACCACAAUCCGGCUAGUGACCGUAGGUCAACGAAAGAAAAUGUCA